rnacentral:rRNA from 1 species
UACAGAGGUCCCAAGCGUUGUUCGGAUUUAUUGGGCGUAAAGGGUGCGUAGGCGGCAAUGUAAGUUGGGCGUGAAAUCCUGGGGCUCAACCUCAGAAUUGCGUUCAAUACUGCAUUGCUAGGGCGCUGUAGAGGAGAUUGGAAUUUACGGUGUAGCAGUGAAAUGCGUAGAUAUCGUAAGGAAGACCAGUGGCGAAAGCGAAUCUCUGGGCAGCAGCCGACGCUGAGGCACGAAGGCCAGGGGAGCAAACGGG